CUUUGAGCAGAAAGUCAGUUAUCAUCUUGUUUACUGAUAUCAAUUAUGAUAUCUGUUCUAAUUCAAAGCGGGUGACUACAUUUACAACCAACAAAAGUAGCCUCUCAUUAUAGAGGGUUGGCAGAUGUCCAUCUGCAAGAAGAUUGCCCUGAAAUAACAGGUUCUGGUUCCAAUUUUCUUUGAGUUUUUUUUUGUUGUUGUUUUUUUUACUUUUAUUAGUGUUUGACCCAACAAACUCUCAACAUGGGCAUCCAGAAAGGAAAUCAUUUGUUGUGGCUGAGCAGUGUUUCCCACAGAUGUUGUUUCUAGUUGUGGCAGAGAGCGUCUACUGCUAGAGAGUUCCAUGUACCCUUUGUUUAACAAAUUAUUAACACCUCUACAGAUAUUUUUUUGCCCACUAACUCAUGACACCAUAAACUUUGGUGCAAUCAGCUGCAUCGCCAAUGAGACUCCGCCUCAAUCCCGAUGGGUCUCUGGAGCCGACAGCUGCAAAACUCCAGAAACUGUAAAUUUGUGUUCAUCCUUUAAGAAGUAGCUUAAUGAUAUUGAUAACCAGCACAAUGGCAUAGUUAUCAGAAAAUCAACUUUCUAAAUAAGUGAGAGGGACCACUGGUAAAUUGGCUAAGGUGCUGUUCUCUCAAAUGACCAGAGAAUAAAUGAAUAAAUAAACCCUUGAACGAGUCACCAUCAGUGUGUGGGAAGCACUGCUAACACACUGAAGUUAAGUCUGGAUUGGUCCCACCCGUUAAGGACCCCCCAACCCCCCUGACUCUUAUGUAUGUUUGGGGGAAAAAAAAGACUCAGGUUGAAGUGAUGGCUUUGAGCUUUAGUUUGAGGGUGUUUAUACUCCUAAUGAACUUGGUUUUGAUUGUAACAUUUUAUAAAUACCCCAGAAAGGGUAAAAAGUCCCACACUGAUGGGAAGAUGCUAGAAUGGCCUUAAAUCUCAGCAGGUUAAGUUACUUAAGAGCUGCACUGUGGCUUAGUUAAGACACAUCUCCUGACUGCACAUGUUGGGGGGGGAUGGUUAAAAGCGUUACUGCCAUUGCACCCUCUGACCACAGGGGGGUGCAGUGUUUAAUUGCCAUCCUAAAAACUUGAGGACAAUUGGAGAUUAGAUGAAACUUUUAAAACAAGAACUUGAGCUUCGUAGCUCACAGCCUUGAAUAACUUUGAGGGACAUCCGGCAGAGCAGUGUUUUGAGGCCAGGUCAGGUGCAGGUUCAUCAGAUGCAGACAUUUGAUUCCUCCGGAUCAAAACUUUGUUCUGGUUCAUGUCCACAGAGUUCCUUUGAAGGAAGUGUUGUGCAAUGUUGUGAUGUCCUCUUUUUGCACAGUGUUGGGUUACUGAAUCAGUACUGUCAAAUGUACAGUAAUGCUUGGCUCAAAAUAAGUGACUUUAGUGUGGGAUCACCUUUAUUUUACCUAACCCUCUCUGUCACGUGUGUGACACACAGAUUGUUGUUUCUGUUUUGGAAAACAGAAUUGGGUUUGGAUCGAAGAUUUAGCGCUUGAGUGGAACGUGUGUGUGUGCGCGCGUGUAAACUACAUUGUUUUGGAGGUCAGUUGUGACUGAGUUUAUUUGAUCUUAGCACAGCUGUUGUCCUUUAAUUGGAAAAACAGUUUGAGGAGGAAAAAAGUAUGAAUUUAUUGGACUUUUUAUUUCCUUUGCCAGGGUCAUCGUGUCACUUCAUGUCUUUGCUCUAGAAAAGUGCUUUUUCUGUUGCAGCCAUGAGACCGGGCUUCUGGAUUUUUAAACCUUUUUUUGCCCUCAUUAUCACACGUGGAUGUGCGGAAAACCGUAUCUUUAGUAGAAGCUGUACAAAUAAGGUAACAGUUUUUAUAUCACUGCAGUCAUGAUUUAUUUUUCUUCUGUUUUUCCAGCACUUGAAAAACUUAAAAGUUGUUGUCAUAUUUAGUGCAGAAAAGCAACUUUGGAAAAUAAAGAGAAACCGGGGCAACUAUUUAAAUACACGCCUACAGUUAGCCGCUAUACAGCCACGCACAACUACUACAGAGAUCACUGUAUAACAGAUAUAGAUUUAAUGUUUUUGAAGCCAUAAAUCUAAAAAAAAAUUUUUUACUAACAUGCAUAAAUAGAUUGUUAAAGCUCCAAAUAUGAGGCUGACUUCUAUGCUGAAUGAUAUAAAUUUGAACUGUGAGUUUUGUCAACUGUGCUGUAAAAAUGCAAGUUUUUGUAGUGCACAAAAUCCUCACCUGGAUGAUAGGGGAAAAACCAAACUGUAUUAUUUUAAGAGCAGCGACACCUUAUGUAUCUGUGGAACAAAAUAAAUAGGUAAAGAGUAUUUUGAGUGUGAUUGUGGGACUGAUCCUCACGUUUCAAAGUUGGGAAACCAAAGACUGAGCAGUAGAGGGGAUGAACUGAUGGUUUGUCAAAUAGCAACACUAAUGUGGAACGCUUGUGCGCACUUUGAAAGAGUCGCCUGUAUUUUGUGACUUGUAAAUAAACUCGCUAAGGCAGCUCCUCGCAGAAGCAGGGACUUCUCUUGGUGCUGGCUCGCCAAGCGCUGAGGCUAUCAA
ensembl:lncRNA